CCUACGGGAGGCAGCAGUGGGGAAUAUUGGUCAAUGGGCGUAAGCCUGAACCAGCCAUCCCGCGUGCAGGAAGACGGCGCUAUGCGUUGUAAACUGCUUUUCCAGGGGAAGAAAACCUUCGACGUGUCGAAGCUUGCCGGUACCUUGGGAAUAAGCAUCGGCUAACUCCGUGCCAGCAGCCGCGGUAAUACGGAGGAUGCGAGCGUUAUCCGGAUUUAUUGGGUUUAAAGGGUGCGUAGGCGGAUUGAUAAGUCAGCGGUGAAAACCUUCAGCUUAACUGGAGAAUUGCCAUUGAUACUGUCAGUCUUGAGUACGGUCAAGGUAGGCGGAAUGUGUAAUGUAGCGGUGAAAUGCUUAGAUAUUACACAGAACACCAAUUGCGAAGGCAGCUUACUGGACCGAUACUGACGCUGAGGCACGAAAGCGUGGGGAGCGAACAGGCUUAGAUACCCUAGUAGUC
rnacentral:rRNA from 1 species